rnacentral:miRNA from 1 species
UCGGAUCUUCAAACGGUGGAG